UAUGUAAGGGGCGAGCGUUAUCCGGAAUCACUGGGCGUAAAGGGUGCGUAGGCGGCCAAAUAAGCCAGGGGUGAAAGGCUACGGCUCAACCGUAGUAAGCCCUUGGAACUGUAUGGCUUGAGUGCAGGAGAGGAGAGUGGAAUUCCUAGUGUAGCGGUGAAAUGCGUAGAUAUUAGGAGGAACACCAGUGGCGAAGGCGACUCUCUGGACUGUAACUGACGCUGAGGCACGAAAGCGUGGGGAGCAAACAGG
rnacentral:rRNA from 1 species